UUGUUUCAGAUUGCUAUUUGGCAGUCAUUGUUUCUCAUUGUGCAGCACGAGAUAAGUGUAAUUGGUCAACUGGAUGGCAGAGACCAGGUUGUGGGUACAGGAAAGGUGUGUGACCUCGUUUCUCAUCAUUAAGAGAGAAAUGACUGUGGAUAAAUGCUAGUGGGAGCUGAGAGUGAGACAGAGAGAGAGAGAGAUUCCAUGGUGCAUGAUGUCUGAGAAGAAGAAUCUAAAGGAGAAGAAUCCAAGCCUGGAUGGAGGGAUUGCUUUUGAUGGUAAGAGACAAUCUCCACGUUGAAACAAGAGGGAGG
rnacentral:lncRNA from 1 species